AGCAGCCGCGGUAAUUCCAGCUCCAAUAGCGUAUAUUAAAGUUGUUGCAGUUAAAAAGCUCGUAGUUGAAUUUCGGGAUCAAUAUGUCGGUCGUGCCUUCGGUACGUACUGGUAUCAUUGGUCUCUCCUUUCUGACGAACCAUGAUGCCAUUUAAUUUGGUGUUAGUGGGG
rnacentral:rRNA from 1 species